rnacentral:lncRNA from 1 species
GGGACGGGGGGGGCCGGCGGCGCGAGGAGACGCUGAGGGCAUCUGUGUGUCCCGAGUGUGUGUGUCACCGUUUGUGUCGUGUGUGUGUCUAUGUGUGCGUGUGUGUCACCGUGUGUCACCGUGUGUGUGUUUGUGUGUGUGUGUGUCACCGUGUGUGUGCCUGUGUGUGCGUGUGUGUCACCGUGUGUGUGUGUGUGUUUGUGUGUGUGUCACCGUGUGUGUCGUGUGUGUCUCUGUGUGUGCGUGUCACCGUGUGUGUCCCGUGUGAGUGUGUGUUUGUGUGUAUCUGUCACCGUGUGUGUGUGUGUAUCUGUGUGUCACCGUGUGUGUGUGUGUCUGUGUGUGUGUCAGUCACCGUGUGUGUCUGUGUGUCACCGUGUGUGUGUCACCGUGUGUGUGUGUGUCUGUGUGUGUGUCAGUCACCGUGUGUGUGUGUCUGUGUGUGUCACCGUGUGUGUAUGUCACCAUGUGUGUGCACGCGCGUGUCUGUGUGUGUGUGUUUGUGUCACCGUGUGUGUCCUGUGUGUGUGUCACCCGUGUGUGUCCCUCUUGUGUGUCCCAUGUGUCUCUGUCCCUCUGUGUGUGUGUGUGUGUUUGUGUCCUCCGUGUGUGUCCUUCGUGUGUGUCCCCCUUGCCCUUUGGGCGUCCCGCCUGUGUGUCCCGCGCCCGUCCCGAAUGUGUCCCCUUCGUGUGUCCUGUGUGCGUGCCGUGUCCUGUCACACCCCCGUGGCAGUACGGGCACUUGUGUGCCUGCACGAAGCUGUGGUUCUGUACUCGGUGGGGUCAGAAUCGCAGCCGUGCGGAUUUUGGGAUGUCUGCGGCGAGAGCCGCUCGCACGGCUGGGCUGGUUCUCGUCGUGGUGCUCAGAGGAGGUUCCGGUGCAGGGCGAGGAGUCUGAGCGCUCAGAAUUAAAGGUCAUGUCGCAUUUGCUCGCCGCCUGUGACGGCAGCGACAUCUCCUUCAGCCCGCUCCACCCAUGCAGCCCUACUCCCUCUGGUUUUCGUGUCAUCCCGCUCCUCCUGAGCCCUGGAUAAUGUCAAACGCUGUUUCCUGUCCCGAUUGGUGUGGCCUCCUCACACGCUUAGGAGUCUGUCUGCUGUGGUUAGAGUGUUUGCAGGCUGCCUGGAGAGUUUUGUAAACUUGCUGGGAAGCAGAUUGGCCUGUGCGUGAGUCCAUGUGCAGAACUGUGUAUUAAGU